UACGGAGGGUGCAAGCGUUAUCCGGAAUCAUUGGGUUUAAAGGGUCCGUAGGCGGGCUAUUAAGUCAGAGGUGAAAUCCCACAGCUUAACUGUGGAACUGCCUUUGAUACUGGUAGUCUUGAGUUAUAUGGAAGUAGAUAGAAUAUGUAGUGUAGCGGUGAAAUGCAUAGAUAUUACAUAGAAUACCGAUUGCGAAGGCAGUCUACUACGUAUAUACUGACGCUAAUGGACGAAAGCGUGGGGAGCGAACAGG
rnacentral:rRNA from 1 species